rnacentral:lncRNA from 1 species
UCAUUAAUCAUCAAAAUAGGGAGAUCAUUUCAGAUUGAAUCAUCUUUGUAUUUUUAUUUUUAUUUUUUUGCAUCGAGAAAGAAGAGAGAUAGAGGAAAGAGAGAUAAAGAUGAAUAGAUAGAGGGAGAGAUUUAUAUUCACACUAUGAAACUUUAGGCAACAUUAAAAUGGAGAAGGGGUCUGUGGGGGAGGGAGAGAGAGAGAGAGAGAGUUGUGAUAUCUAAGGUUAAAAUGAUUGGAUGCAUACGCU